rnacentral:rRNA from 1 species
UGGGGAAUUUUGGACAAUGGGCGAAAGCCUGAUCCAGCAAUGCCGCGUGUGUGAAGAAGGCCUUCGGGUUGUAAAGCACUUUUGUCCGGAAAGAAAUCCUUGGCUCUAAUACAGUCGGGGGAUGACGGUACCGGAAGAAUAAGCACCGGCUAACUACGUGCCAGCAGCCGCGGUAAUACGUAGGGUGCAAGCGUUAAUCGGAAUUACUGGGCGUAAAGCGUGCGCAGGCGGUUUGCUAAGACCGAUGUGAAAUCCCGGGCUCAACCUGGGAACUGCAUUGGUGACUGGCAGGCUAGAGUAUGGCAGAGGGGGGUAGAAUUCCACGUGUAGCAGUGAAAUGCGUAGAGAUGUGGAGGAAUACCGAUGGCGAAGGCAGCCCCCUGGGCCAAAUACUGACGCUCAUGCACGAAAGCGUGGGGAGCAAACAGGAUUAGAUACCCUGGUAGUCCACGCCCUAAACGAUGUCAACUAGUUGUUGGGGAUUCAUUUCCUUAGUAACGUAGCUAACGCGUGAAGUUGACCGCCUGGGGAGUACGGUCGCAAGAUUAAAACUC